GACGAACGCUGGCGGCGUGCUUAACACAUGCAAGUCGAACGAAGUGGCGAACGGGUGAGUAACGCGUAAUCCACCUGCCCUUCAGAGGGGGACAACAUUUGGAAACGACUGCUAAUACCGCAUACUGAAGUAGGGGAUUUCGUCUGAUUAGCUAGUUGUGGGGGUAACGGCCCACAAAGGCGAUGAUCAGUAGACGGUCUUAGAGGAUGACCGGACACAUUGGGACUGAGACACGGCCCAGACUCCUACGGGAGGCAGCAGUAGGGAAUCUUCCGCAAUGGACGAAAGUCUGACGGAGCAACGCCGCGUGAGUGAUGACGGCCUUCGGGUUGUAAAGCUCUGUUAAUCGGGACGCGGUACCGAAAUAGAAAGCUACGGCUAACUACGUGCCAGCAGCCGCGGUAAUAC
rnacentral:rRNA from 1 species